rnacentral:rRNA from 1 species
UAACCCCGGGAACUGGGAUAAUACCGGAUAUUGUGCGGAUGCUGGAAUGCACCGCACAAGAAAGCUCCGGCGCCAGAGGAUGGGUCUGCGGCCUAUCAGGGUAGUAGUGGGUGUAACGUACCUACUAGCCUACGACGGGUACGGGUUGUGAGAGCAAGAGCCCGGAGAUGGAUUCUGAGACACGAAUCCAGGCCCUACGGGGUGCAGCAGGCGCGAAAACUUUACAAUGCCGGCAACGGCGAUAAGGGAACCUCGAGUGCCAGGAUACAAUCCUGGCUGUCGUAAUGCCUAAAAAGCAUUUCAUAGCAAGGGCCGGGCAAGACCGGUGCCAGCCGCCGCGGUAACACCGGCGGCUCGAGUGGUAACCGUUAUUAUUGGGUCUAAAGGGUCUGUAGCCGGCUGGAUAAGUCUCUUGGGAAAUCCGGCAGCUCAACUGUCGGGCUUUCAGGAGAUACUGUCCGGCUCGAGACCGGGAGAGGUGAGAGGUACUUCAGGGGUAGGGGUGAAAUCUUGUAAUCCUUGAAGGACCACCAGUGGCGAAGGCGUCUCACCAGAACGGAUCUGACGGCAAGGGACGAAAGCUAGGGGCACGAACCGGAUUAGAUACCCGGGUAGUCCUAGCCGUAAACGAUACUCGCUAGGUGUCGGCCACGGUGCGACCGUGGUCGGUGCCGUAGGGAAGCCGUGAAGCGAGCCACCUGGGAAGUACGGCCGCAAGGCUGAAACUUAAAGGAAUUGGCGGGGGAGCACUACAACGGGUGGAGCUUGCGGUUUAAUUGGAUUCAACGCCGGAAAUCUCACCGGGACCG